rnacentral:lncRNA from 1 species
UCUUUACUGUUCAUUAUCUGGUUAUUCAAUAGGAUAUAGAUAUUUUACAUAAAGAGCAUUUUGCUUUCUUUUUCUUCAUUCACUCUCUCUUGCUUUUUCAUGAGUUUCUUUCUUGACAAACCGAGCCAAAGCAAGCCCUGAGAAGGAGAGCAAAGGUAAGAUUCAAACUAAUUACUGGAAUCGACCUUCAAUUUCUUCCAAUCCUGUAAAUUUCUUCAAUUUCUUGAUCACUUCUGCAGAUCCUGUGGAAAUUUUUCCCUUUUUAUGAAAGUUUAACUAAAAUUUCAAACAAAGGCACGAGAGAAAAUCGAACUAUUUUCAGUUCAAGUAAAGAUCUUGGAACAACAAUACACGACAAUAGC